AGGAGCUUCAGGCACAGGAAGCUGUGGGAGCUCAGCAUGUCUGGCCUGGCAGGGUCUGUGGGUGGAGCUGACUGACUGCAGGAGCAGGGACAGAUCCAGAGCCAUCCUGACACCACAACCCAGGCUUUGGUUACACACAGUUCCAUCUCUCAGUCAGACACGCCACAUCAUGAAGAGGCUGCUGGGCUCUCUGCUGGGGCUUCUGUGCGCCCAGGUUUGCUGGGUGAAAGGGCAGCAAGUGGAGCAGAGUCCUGGAGCCUUGACUCUCCAGGAGGGAGAGAACUGUGACCUAAAGUGCAACUUUUCCAGUUCUGCCAACCUGCAGUGGUUUCACCAGAAUCCCCAGGGCCGCCUCAUCAGCCUGUUUUACAAUCCCUCGGGAACAAAGCAGAGUGGAAGACUAAAGUCCACGACAGACGCUAAGGAACGCCGCAGCUCCCUGCACAUCUCCUCCUCCCAGACCACAGACUCAGGCACUUACUUCUGUGCCGUGGACACACAUGUUAACACAGGUUCAGGCUAUGGAAAGCUGACGUUUGGGCAAGGGACCAUCCUCAUUGUCCAUCCAAUCAUUGAGAACCCAGAGCCUGCCGUAUACCAGCUAAGGGAUCCUAAAUCCAGCAACAACUCCAUCUGCCUAUUCACCGACUUCAGUUCUCAAAGCAAUGUGUCACAAAAAACAGAACCUGGAUUGUUUAUCUCUGACCCAACUGUGCUGGACAUGAAGUCUAUGGAUUUCAAGAGUAAUGGGGCCCUUGCCUGGGGCACCCAAACUAAUUUUGGCUGUGGUGCUGCCUUCGAAAAGGAAGGUGACAACCACUCAGAUGUGACCUGUGAUGCCAAGUUGGUGGAGAAAAGCUUUGAAACAGACAUGAACCUAAACUUUCAAAACCUGUCGGUGAUGGGACUCCGUAUCUUCCUCCUAAAAGUGGCUGGAUUUAACCUACUCAUGACGCUGCGGCUGUGGUCCAGCUAA